CCUACGGGAGGCAGCAGUGAGGAAUAUUGGUCAAUGGGCGCGAGCCUGAACCAGCCAAGUCGCGUGAGGGAAGACGGUCCUAUGGAUUGUAAACCUCUUUUGUCGGGGAGCAAAAGACGCCACGCGUGGCGUUCCGAGAGUACCCGAAGAAAAAGCAUCGGCUAACUCCGUGCCAGCAGCCGCGGUAAUACGGAGGAUGCGAGCGUUAUCCGGAUUUAUUGGGUUAAAAGGGUGCGCUGGCGGAAGAUCAAGUCAGCGGUAAAAUUGAGAGGCUCAACCUCUUCGAGCCGUUGAAACUGGUUGUCUUGAGUAAGCGAGAGGUGUGCGGAAUGCGUGGUGUAGCGGUGAAAUGCAUAGAUAUCACGCAGAACUCCGAUUGCGAAGGCAGCAUACCGGCGCUCAACUGACGCUCAUGCACGAAAGUGUGGGUAUCGAACAGGAUUAGAUACCCCUGUAGUC
rnacentral:rRNA from 1 species